rnacentral:lncRNA from 1 species
GAUGAUUUAAAACGAUCUGGUGACUUCCUGCAUUAUUUAUGGAUUGCAUACAGAAAGUAUGUGCUAAUUUGUCCCUUAGAAUCUAGUUUCUUCCUUUAAGUACCUAUUGAGACCUCUGGCAGAAGAAUGUGGCUUUGGAACUAAACCAGAUAAUGGAUAUUAUUAGCAAGAUUGUUUGUUGAAGUGUAAAAGUAUUUCCCCAGAUUUUCCUCCCUUCAUGCUUAUAAUCUUGCGGGGAGGGAGCGCAGGGAAGGAAACUACCAGUCCUUCAAUUUAGCAAGAUGAAAAGUGGAUCUUUCAAA